rnacentral:lncRNA from 1 species
GUGCUAGUUUGCGGUCCCAGAACCAGUGAGGGAGUUAAAAGGGAACCCAUUUCAGGCCUGGCUGAGAGCCGCUAAGCAAUUUCACAGCCGGCUCCCCUGGGCCCCCGCACUGCAGACACAGCUCCCGACAUAUAGGAGCUGAGUCCCGGCUUGCUUACUCUUGGUCUUGGAAGACGCAUUUCCUGAACUCUCCUUAGCGGUUCUAGGCUCUGUGGUCAGGUUUGCAGCCAUCUGAGCCUGCCUUUCAAGCUUGGUCCCAUGAGCAAAUGAAAACCUACCUGCCUGAGCCUGGGAGGAGUCUUUGCUGGAAGGAAAGCCAGGCAAGAAAACUGCAAUUCUCUAAGUCUUUCCCAAGAAAGCAGGUCUGCUGGGGCAGGCUUAAUUUCCACCUGCCAUUUCUCACUGGUAUGUCCAAACAACUCUCCAGGACAUAGUCUAGGCGGCAGGUAACCAUGAACACACCGUUUUCUCAGGCUCUCUCAGAGUGCUCUUACAUACCCGGCAAGGAAUAUUAUAAUUUUUAAGAAAAAGGAGGAAUGUGGGAAGGGAGGGAAAGAGAAAACACGGCAGGGAAUGUAGAUUCUUUUAAAAUGGAUAAAUCUGAAUUAAAAACAAACCGCACUGGGAGAAGAAUGUUGGUGCUGGUACAGGGUGGGCAAGGAUGCAGAGUCAUGAAUUCUGGAGUAUCCCUGGGAGAAAAUGUGCUCACCUCCACACCUAGAAGAACUUGAAAAUGACUGGAUCCACUGUGCCAGGGAAGGCCUCCAGACAAAGAGCUGCACUUCAUACCUCUACCUCAGAACUCCACGCAAGACCCAGGGCAGAAGGUAUCUCAACCAUCUGGACUGUGACAGCUCAAAUUGCUUCGAAGAAUUGGGAGGAGCAUCUAGUGACACCUGAAAAAGCGGGAGGUAUGUAUAUGUGUCACAUGUACAGUGUCAGAGGAGGUCAAGAGAAGGACAUAGAUUCCCUAGAUCUGAAGUCACAGAUGGUCAUGAGUCAUUAUGUAGGUGCUGAAGAUGGAACCUGUGUCCUUUGAAAGAACAGCAAGUGUUCUUAACUGCUGGUCC